GCCGGAGUAGCUCAACGGUAGAGNNCGCUUUUGUAAAGCGAAGGUUGGGGGUUCGAUUCCUCUCUCCGGCUCCA
rnacentral:tRNA from 1 species